rnacentral:rRNA from 1 species
UACGAAGGGGGCUAGCGUUGCUCGGAAUCACUGGGCGUAAAGCGCACGUAGGCGGAUUGCUAAGUCAGGGGUGAAAUCCUGGAGCUCAACUCCAGAACUGCCUUUGAUACUGGCGAUCUUGAGUCCGGGAGAGGUGAGUGGAACUGCGAGUGUAGAGGUGAAAUUCGUAGAUAUUCGCAAGAACACCAGUGGCGAAGGCGGCUCACUGGCCCGGUACUGACGCUGAGGUGCGAAAGCGGUGGGGAGCAAACAG